UUGGCGGCAGGCUACCACAUGCUGAUCGAACGGAUCCUCUCGGGGUUAGUGGCGGACGGGUGAGUAACACGUGGGAACGUGCCCUUUGGUUCGGAACAACUCAGUGCAAACUUGAGCUAACUACCGGAUGUGCCCUUCGCGGGGAAAGAUUUAUCGCCAUCGGAGCGGCCCGCGUCUGAUUAGCUAGUUGGUGGGGUAAAGGCCCACCAAGGCGACGAUCAGUAGCUGGUCUGAGAGGAUGAUCAGCCACACUGGGACUGAGACACGGCCCAGACUCCUACGGGAGGCAGCAGUGGGGAAUAUUGGACAAUGGGGGCAACCCUGAUCCAGCAAUGCCGCGUGUGUGAUGAAGGCCCUAGGGUUGUAAAGCACUUUCAAUGGUGAAGAUGAUGACGGUAGCCAUAGAAGAAGCCCCGGCUAACUUCGUGCCAGCAGCCGCGGUAAUACGAAGGGGGCGAGCGUAGUUCGGAAUUACUGGGCGUAAAGGGCGCGCAGGCGGACAAAAAGUAAGGUGUGAAAGCCCAGGGCACAACCC
rnacentral:rRNA from 1 species